rnacentral:lncRNA from 1 species
GUACCCACAACAUGACUAAUAAAAAUGUACAACUGAAAUCUCACAAGCUUGUAAUCUAUCAUAACAUUAAUAAAAAAAAUAAAAAAAAUAAUAAAAAAUAAAAAUAAAAAAAAAGAAAGAAAGAAAGAAAAAAAGCCUAUUGUCUCUCUCCUCCUCAGCAUGUGGAACCACAAUCAUCCGGGCCUCAUCCCCAUUGCUCAAGGGGAAGAUGUAGGCAUUUCGUCUGAGCCAGGUUGGCAAGGUGGAAAUGUGCAGGAUGCAGAUGUCCCAGACUGGCGAGUGAAGUGCUGAAAAGAAACGGCGUUCAGCCUCCUUGGUAUGAGAUGUUCCCAGGACGCUGUAAGAGCACUGUGGAAAGGGAGUUUUUUCUCCACUUCAAAAAGAGCUGGAAGCAGGACAAGAUGUGGUUUGUCGCCCAUUGAGGGGUGGAUCCAGAACCAGUGCCUUGUGCCUUCCACCUCUAGAGGAAUGGAGGGCAUGGCUGAGAGCAAAGGGGCCUUUCUGACAUAGGUGUUUUCUGACACUCUCUCCACCAGUGGUCUACUGUGGUUGGUGGAAAGCAUAUUGUCUCUCUCCUGCUAAACACAUGGUUGCACAAUCCUUUGUGACUCAGCCCAGGUGCUUAAGGGGAAGAUGUAGGCAUUUCGUCUGAGCUGGGUUGGCCACUUGGAAUUGCGGCAGAAGCAGAAGUUCUAAAGCUGCGAGUUAAGGGCUGGGAAGAAAUGCCAUUUGAGCUGCCUUUGUAUGAGAAGUUCCCGGUCUGCUGUAACAGGACUGUGGCAAGCGAGUUGUUUGUCAGCUUCCUAAAGAGCUGGAGGCAAGACAGUUUAUGGCUUGUCUCCCAUUGAAGGAUGGAGGCAAAGUUCCCAGUCUGCUGUAACAGGACUGUGGCAAGCGAGUUGUUUGUCAGCUUCCUAAAGAGCUGGAGGCAAGACAGUUUAUGGCUUGUCUCCCAUUGAAGGAUGGAGGCAGUGCUUUGUGCCUUCCACCUCUAGAGCAAUGCAGGGCACGGCUGAGAGCAAAGGGCCCUUUCUGACAUAGGUGCAUUCUGACACUCUCUGCACCCGUGCACAAUGGCGGUUUGUAAAAAGCCUAUUUUC